rnacentral:lncRNA from 1 species
ACUGCUCUUUAAUGCUUCCAUACUUAAACUAUGUACGACCCGUGAUGUCAUGGAUUGUGAGAUUUACUUUAGAUGUCUCGGAUCGGGAAUGACUCAAGAGCCCAAGUUUGUCUUACUCUGCAUUAUGGAAUUUAUUUAUUUUGAAUUUUCCUCUGCAUUAUGGAUUUGAUAAUUUAGCGGCGGCACACCAACUUUGAUUAGCUGCAUGUUUGGUGUUUUGUUUGGCUACAAUCCACUUCCUUAGGAAUAGGCCCAGCUAGUAUUGUUAUAAAUUCUUUAAAUGAAAUAAU